rnacentral:rRNA from 1 species
GAUGAACGCUGGCGGCGUGCCUAAUACAUGCAAGUCGAGCGAACAGACGAGGAGCUUGCUCCUCUGACGUUAGCGGCGGACGGGUGAGUAACACGUGGAUAACCUACCUAUAAGACUGGGAUAACUUCGGGAAACCGGAGCUAAUACCGGAUAAUAUAUUGAACCGUAUGGUUCAAUAGUGAAAGACGGUUUUGCUGUCACUUAUAGACGGAUCCGCGCCGUAUUAGCUAGUUGGUAAGGUAACGGCUUACCAAGGCAACGAUGCGUAGCCGACCUGAGAGGGUGAUCGGCCACACUGGAACUGAGACACGGUCCAGACUCCUACGGGAGGCAGCAGUAGGGAAUCUUCCGCAAUGGGCGAAAGCUUGACGGAGCAACGCCGCGUGAGUGAUGAAGGUCUUCGGAUCGUAAAACUCUGUUAUUAGGGAAGAACAAAUGUGUAAGUAACUAUGCACGUCUUGACGGUACCUAAUCAGAAAGCCACGGCUAACUACGUG